GACGAACCACACGAACGUUAUUCGGAAUUACUGGGCUUAAAGGGUGCGUAGGCUGUGCAGAAAGUUAGGUGUGAAAUCCCCCGGCUCAACCGGGGAAUUGCGCUUAAAACUACUGUGCUAGAGGAAGACAGAGGUGAGCGGAACUUCGGGUGGAGCGGUGAAAUGCGUUGAUAUCCGAAGGAACACCGGUGGCGAAAGCGGCUCACUGGGUCUUUUCUGACGCUGAUGCACGAAAGCUAGGGGAGCAAACAGG
rnacentral:rRNA from 1 species